GUGGCUUGAUUUACAUUUAAUCUCUGCAAUUUAUUAGAGUCCUGUAGUCGGAUUUACUGUGAAGAGAGUUUCCCAGAAGAAUAAAAUUUGCCGAGUUGCUUUCUGGGUGUGAGCUACUUUUGUAUUUGCCUAAUGCCUUUAACGCAAAUUUAUUUCUUUCUCUCUUGCUUUUUUUUAAAAAAAAAAUAGAAAUGUUUGUCUUCUUAAAACAUCUGAAAGUGGCACACCAAGUUCCUCUGCUCCUCAAGAAAACACCAUAUCUGGAUAUAGCCUUUUAACCUGCAAAAGAACUUUACCUGAACCCUGCCAUUCUAAAAUUUACCCAGGAGUUGACUUUGGAGGAGAAGAAUUGAAUGUGACUUUCGUUAAAGGAGUGAAUGUUUGCCAAGAGACUUGCACAAAGAUGAUUCGCUGUCAGUUUUUCACUUAUUCUUUACUCCCAGAAGACUGUAAGGAAGAGAAGUGUAAGUGUUUCUUAAGAUUAUCUAUGGAUGGUUCUCCAACUAGGAUUGCGUAUGGGACACAAGGGAGCUCUGGUUACUCUUUGAGAUUGUGUAACACUGGGGACAGCUCUGUCUGCACAACAAAAACAAGUGCACGCAUAGUUGGAGGAACAAACUCUUCUUGGGGAGAGUGGCCCUGGCAGGUAAGCCUGCAGGUGAAGCUGACGGCUCAGAGGCACCUGUGUGGAGGGUCACUCAUAGGACACCAGUGGGUCCUCA
rnacentral:sRNA from 1 species